GGGUUGUGAGGUUAAGCGACUAAGCGUACACGGUGGAUGCCCUGGCAGUCAGAGGCGAUGAAGGACGUGCUAAUCUGCGAAAAGCGUCGGUAAGGUGAUAUGAACCGUUAUAACCGGCGAUGUCCGAAUGGGGAAACCCAGUGUGAUUCGUCACACUAUCGUUAACUGAAUACAUAGGUUAACGAGGCGAACCGGGGGAACUGAAACAUCUAAGUACCCCGAGGAAAAGAAAUCAACCGAGAUUCCCCCAGUAGCGGCGAGCGAACGGGGAGCAGCCCAGAGUCUGAAUCAGCUUGUGUGUUAGUGGAACGGUCUGGAAAGUCCGACGGUACAGGGUGAUAGUCCCGUACACCAAAAUGCACAGGUUGUGAACUCGAAGAGUAGGGCGGGACACGUGGUAUCCUGUCUGAAUAUGGGGGGACCAUCCUCCAAGGCUAAAUACUCCUGACUGACCGAUAGUGAACCAGUACCGUGAGGGAAAGGCGAAAAGAACCCCGGCGAGGGGAGUGAAAAAGAACCUGAAACCGUGUACGUACAAGCAGUGGGAGCACCUUCGGGUGUGACUGCGUACCUUUUGUAUAAUGGGUCAGCGACUUAUAUUCUGUAGCAAGGUUAACCGUAUAGGGGAGCCGCAGGGAAACCGAGUCUUAACUGGGCGUUAAGUUGCAGGGUAUAGACCCGAAACCCGGUGAUCUAGCCAUGGGCAGGUUGAAGGUUGGGUAACACUAACUGGAGGACCGAACCGACUAAUGUUGAAAAAUUAGCGGAUGACUUGUGGCUGGGGGUGAAAGGCCAAUCAAACCGGGAGAUAGCUGGUUCUCCCCGAAAGCUAUUUAGGUAGCGCCUCGUGAAUUCAUCUUCGGGGGUAGAGCACUGUUUCGGCUAGGGGGUCAUCCCGACUUACCAACCCGAUGCAAACUACGAAUACCGAAGAAUGUUAUCACGGGAGACACACGGCGGGUGCUAACGUCCGUCGUGAAGAGGGAAACAACCCAGACCGCCAGCUAAGGUCCCAAAGUCAUGGUUAAGUGGGAAACGAUGUGGGAAGGCACAGACAGCCAGGAUGUUGGCUUAGAAGCAGCCAUCAUUUAAAGAAAGCGUAAUAGCUCACUGGUCGAGUCGGCCUGCGCGGAAGAUGUAACGGGGCUAAACCAUGCACCGAAGCGGCAGCGACACUAUGUGUUGUUGGGUAGGGGAGCGUUCUGUAAGCCUGCGAAGGUGACCUGUGAGGGUUGCUGGAGGUAUCAGAAGUGCGAAUGCUGACAUAAGUAACGAUAAAGCGGGUGAAAAGCCCGCUCGCCGGAAGACCAAGGGUUCCUGUCCAACGUUAAUCGGGGCAGGGUGAGUCGACCCCUAAGGCGAGGCCGAAAGGCGUAGUCGAUGGGAAACAGGUUAAUAUUCCUGUACUUGGUGUUACUGCGAAGGGGGGACGGAGAAGGCUAUGUUAGCCGGGCGACGGUUGUCCCGGUUUAAGCAUGUAGGCUGGUUGUCCAGGCAAAUCCGGAUAAUCAAGGCUGAGGUGUGAUGACGAGGCACUACGGUGCUGAAGUAACAAAUGCCCUGCUUCCAGGAAAAGCCUCUAAGCAUCAGGUAACAUUGAAUCGUACCCCAAACCGACACAGGUGGUCAGGUAGAGAAUACCAAGGCGCUUGAGAGAACUCGGGUGAAGGAACUAGGCAAAAUGGUGCCGUAACUUCGGGAGAAGGCACGCUGGUGUGUAGGUGAAGCCCCUGCGGGUGGAGCUGAGACCAGUCGAAGAUACCAGCUGGCUGCAACUGUUUAUUAAAAACACAGCACUGUGCAAACACGAAAGUGGACGUAUACGGUGUGACGCCUGCCCGGUGCCGGAAGGUUAAUUGAUGGGGUUAUCCGUAAGGAGAAGCUCUUGAUCGAAGCCCCGGUAAACGGCGGCCGUAACUAUAACGGUCCUAAGGUAGCGAAAUUCCUUGUCGGGUAAGUUCCGACCUGCACGAAUGGCGUAAUGAUGGCCAGGCUGUCUCCACCCGAGACUCAGUGAAAUUGAACUCGCUGUGAAGAUGCAGUGUACCCGCGGCAAGACGGAAAGACCCCGUGAACCUUUACUAUAGCUUGACACUGAACAUUGAGCCUUGAUGUGUAGGAUAGGUGGGAGGCUUUGAAGCGUGGACGCCAGUCUGCGUGGAGCCAACCUUGAAAUACCACCCUUUAAUGUUUGAUGUUCUAACGUUGGCCCCUUACCGGGGUUGCGGACAGUGUCUGGUGGGUAGUUUGACUGGGGCGGUCUCCUCCCAAAGCGUAACGGAGGAGCACGAAGGUUAGCUAAUCCUGGUCGGACAUCAGGAGGUUAGUGCAAUGGCAUAAGCUAGCUUGACUGCGAGCGUGACGGCGCGAGCAGGUGCGAAAGCAGGUCAUAGUGAUCCGGUGGUUCUGAAUGGAAGGGCCAUCGCUCAACGGAUAAAAGGUACUCGGGAUAACAGGCUGAUACCGCCCAAGAGUUCAUAUCGACGGCGGUGUUUGGCACCUCGAUGUCGGCUCAUCACAUCCCGGGCUGAAGUAGGUCCCAAGGGUAUGGCUGUUCGCCAUUUAAAGUGGUACGCGAGCUGGGUUUAGAACGUCGUGAGACAGUUCGGUCCCUAUCUGCCGUGGGCGCUGGAGAAUUGAGGGGGGCUGCUCCUAGUACGAGAGGACCGGAGUGGACGCAUCACUGGUGUUCGGGUUGUCAUGCCAAUGGCACUGCCCGGUAGCUAAAUGCGGAAGAGAUAAGUGCUGAAAGCAUCUAAGCACGAAACUUGCCCCGAGAUGAGUUCUCCCUGAGACUUUAAGUCUCCUGAAGGAACGUUAAAGACGAUGACGUUGAUAGGCCGGGUGUGUAAGCGCAGCGAUGCGUUGAGCUAACCGGUACUAAUGAACCGUGAGGCUUAACCUUACAACGCCGAAG
rnacentral:rRNA from 1 species